UGUCCAGGGAUGGGAAUCGAACCCACAGUGUUCCUCUUACCGGGCAGAUACCAUGUCCACUAGGCUACCCAUCCCUGGAC